rnacentral:lncRNA from 1 species
UAAAGCUUCAGGAGCGCGGUUGUCAUGGCAACGUUGACAUUUGGGGUACCCGUCCGAGUGCUCCUUUGCAAAAAACAGCACGUGACUUCCGCCACACCUUCUACAAUACGCUCGUGCUGACCAGGGCCCCUCCUGGGGUUUCCUUCCUCCAUGCUGUAAUUAAUAAAAUUGG